rnacentral:rRNA from 1 species
AGUGAACGCUGGCGGUAGGCCUAACACAUGCAAGUCGAACGGCAGCACAGUAAGAGCUUGCUCUUACGGGUGGCGAGUGGCGGACGGGUGAGGAAUACAUCGGAAUCUACUUUUUCGUGGGGGAUAACGUAGGGAAACUUACGCUAAUACUGCAUACGACCUACGGGUGAAAGCAGGGGAUCUUCGUACCUUGCGCGAUUGAAUGAGCCGAUGUCGGAUUAGCUAGUUGGCGGGGUAAAGGCCCACCAAGGCGACGAUCCGUAGCUGGUCUGAGAGGAUGAUCAGCCACACUGGAACUGAGACACGGUCCAGACUCCUACGGGAGGCAGCAGUGGGGAAUAUUGGACAAUGGGCGCAAGCCUGAUCCAGCCAUACCGCGUGAGUGAAGAAGGCCUUCGGGUUGUAAAGCCCUUUUGUUGGGAAAGAAAAGCAGCAGGUUAAUACCCCGCUGUUCUGACGGUACCCAAAGAAUAAGCACCGGCUAACUUCGUG